rnacentral:rRNA from 1 species
AGUGAACGCUGGCGGUAGGCCUAACACAUGCAAGUCGAACGGCAGCACAGUAAGAGCUUGCUCUUACGGGUGGCGAGUGGCGGACGGGUGAGGAAUACAUCGGAAUCUACUUUUUCGUGGGGGAUAACGUGGGGAAACUUACGCUAAUACCGCAUACGACCUACGGGUGAAAGCAGGGGAUCUUCGGACCUUGCGCGAUUGAAUGAGCCGAUGUCGGAUUAGCUAGUUGGCGGGGUAAAGGCCCACCAAGGCGACGAUCCGUAGCUGGUCUGAGAGGAUGAUCAGCCACACUGGAACUGAGACACGGUCCAGACUCCUACGGGAGGCAGCAGUGGGGAAUAUUGGACAAUGGGCGCAAGCCUGAUCAAGCCAUACCGCGUGGGUGAAGAAGGCCUUCGGGUUGUAAAGCACUUUUGUUGGGAAAGAAAAGCAGCAGGUUAAUACCCCGCUGUUCUGACGGUACCCAAAGAAUAAGCACCGGCUAACUUCGUG